rnacentral:rRNA from 1 species
GACGAACGCUGGCGGCGUGCUUAACACAUGCAAGUCGAACGGAAAGGCCCUUCGGGGUACUCGAGUGGCGAACGGGUGAGUAACACGUGGGUGAUCUGCCCUGCACUUUGGGAUAAGCCUGGGAAACUGGGUCUAAUACCGAAUAUGACCACGCUCUUCAUGGGAUGUGGUGGAAAGCUUUUGCGGUGUGGGAUGGGCCCGCGGCCUAUCAGCUUGUUGGUGGGGUAAUGGCCUACCAAGGCGACGACGGGUAGCCGGCCUGAGAGGGUGACCGGCCACACUGGGACUGAGAUACGGCCCAGACUCCUACGGGAGGCAGCAGUGGGGAAUAUUGCACAAUGGGCGCAAGCCUGAUGCAGCGACGCCGCGUGAGGGAUGACGGCCUUCGGGUUGUAAACCUCUUUCACCAGGGACGAAGCGCAAGUGACGGUACCUGGAGAAGAAGCACCGGCCAACUACGUGCCAGCAGCCGCCGUAA